GUGACCUCGGAUCAGGAG
rnacentral:rRNA from 1 species